rnacentral:rRNA from 1 species
GCGCAGCAGGCGCGAAAACUCCGCAAUGCGCGAAAGCGUGACGGGGGAACCCCGAAGUGCCGUUGGUCUAUUGAUCGACGGCUUUUCGGGAGUUUAGGGAGCUCCCGGAAUAAGGGCUGGGUAAGUCGGGUGCCAGCCGCCGCGGUAAUACCCGCAGCCCAAAUGGUGGUCGCGAUUAUUGGGCCUAAAGCGCUCGUAGCCGGGUCGGCAAGUCCCUUGUGAAAUCGGGCGGCUUAACCGUUCGGCUUGCAAGGAAUACUGUUGGCCUUGAGGCCGGGAGACGCCGAGGGUACUCCGGGGGUAGCGGUGAAAUGUUCUAAUCCUCGGGGGACCACCAGUGGCGAAGGCGCUCGGCGAGAACGGACCUGACGGUGAGGGGCGAAGGCUAGGGGAGCGAACGGGGAUUAGAUACCCGGGUAGU